CACGUAGGGGGCAAGCGUUGUCCGGAUUUAUUGGGCGUAAAGAGCUCGUAGGCGGCUCAGUAAGUCGGGUGUGAAACCUCCAGGCUCAACCUGGAGACGCCACCCGAUACUGCUAUGGCUAGAGUCCGGUAGGGGACCACGGAAUUCCUGGUGUAGCGGUGAAAUGCGCAGAUAUCAGGAGGAACACCGGUGGCGAAGGCGGUGGUCUGGGCCGGCACUGACGCUGAGGAGCGAAAGCGUGGGGAGCGAACAGG
rnacentral:rRNA from 1 species